UUUUUUUUUUUUUUUUUUUUUUGAGGAAAGAUAGGAAAUUAACACAAAGCUAUAAACUAUACAGCUAUAAUUUACUUCAAAUUUAUUAGAGAAAUAUAUGGUAAAAUUUAAGAUGUUAAGGUUUCUUGCUAUAAAUACCUUUUUCUUAUUUUCAAAAGUCACCAAUGAAAGUGCUAAAAACAUUUAAAUAGUCUAAACCAGGCAGGCUAGACAAUAAGGCUGUGCAGCACUGUCUCAAGCACUAGCCUAGCGUGAGCUCAUUGUGAACAGAAUCAUCUCCUGAGUGAUUCCUAUUAGGCCUGACGUAUACAUACUCAUUUUAAAGGGGCUCCUGGUCUCCUUACUGAAAGUGCCCUGUAAUAAUUUCUCUCUCAUUCUUAAUGACUUGAUAAUAAUGAAAAACUAAGUGAUUGCUAUUUUGAAACUAUUUGGAUAUUAUAAGUAUGACACUGUAAUUAAAUAUGGUCUAUCAUAUUGCAGGACUUAAAAUACGUUUUGAUGUUUUUAUUCCUCACUAAUAUUUGGAAUGGGUCAUGUUACUGGCCAGGCACUGUUUGAUGAAAUAUGAAGUCUCUGUGCUGAUACUGAACAAGGGUUUAUGGGGACCCACCCAUUUUAGCCAUUGUCCUAGGAGCAUGGGUGAAGUGCUUGGAUUAUAAAGCAGUUCAAACAACAACUUGGUACAUAUAGUUUUAAUUUGAUCAUUUUAAACCAAAAUAGUUCAGCCAAACAAGCAAUUAGUUCAACCUUAAAAUGGAGAAAUCUCUCUUUUAAAAGCAAAUUAACUGUUUGGCCAACUGGAGAGACAGGUUAUUUUCAAGAAAGUAGCUAAACUGUGUCUUGUAGGUGGGCACAAUCUCAGUUGUUAAAACUCUGAUUCUCAUUCAUUCAACUGAAUCAGAUAUAUAGUCACAGACAGUUGUUUUUUUUCUUUUCCUUUACAUUAUGUCUAUCACCUAUUUCUUUUUUCUUCAAGGGUUGUGCAUUUUAGUUUUCCAGUGGCCUAGCAACUAUCAUCUGUACAAAGAAUGCAGGUUCUAAGUGGUGAGUGCCAUCCUAAAAAAUACAGUGACAAGUGGAAGAUAAGAAAAUCCUAUAUCAUAACUUCAGGAACAUCUAGGUGAAAAUCUCCAGGCUGAAUUUGAAUUUAAGGGUGUAUUGAACGUAUACAUUUGUAGUGGUUUUAUUUUUGCUUUCUCUUGGGAUAUUCUAGGCCGUCUUCUCUGUUUUUUUCCUAGUUGGUGAUCCAGGAUUGUUACUUCAGUUAGGCCAAACUGAAUAUGUCGAGUUCAGAAGGCUUCAUCUGUGUAUCUGACUUCAACGUCCUACAAGUCUUCUUAGUCCCUGUUCCAUAGACUUGGGCUUUGAAAAAACAAAACGGUAAAAUGUAAACAGAAAUAGCCUCAUCCAAAGGUAUCCCCUUGAGGCACAAUUUGCAGUGUAAUGAAAAUUACGAAAUGCAAGGGACUUGGUAAAAAUCUCCUCUUAUUCUCUGCUCAGUCCUCGAGAGGAACAUUAACCAUCCCAUAAAUUUACUUUGCUUGCAUCAGCAUUCCUGUGGCAGGUUAAAGAAGAGCUACGUUAAUAUUGAAGUUUCAUGGUUUUCCCAAAUAAUUUGUCACAAGGUACAACAUUACUUGGUUUAGGGCAUAAUAUGGAGACUCUAAAAUAACGCAUCCUGGCCAUUCAGUAAACAUUCUUAAUGAUCUUGUUUUGAAAAGAAGAGCUGGGUAGCCCCUGUUGGCCUGUUGUUUUCCUUGCCCAGGAGAUACAGCCCGGCAGACUCAGUGCAGUUAAUCAGGAGUUUUGCUUAGCCCUUUGUCCUUUCUUCUGGGAGAUCAUUCACACGCCAUCUCUCCACAGUGCUUGCCCAUGUAGCAAUGCAUACCAACUAUAACCAGGUAGGGAGGUUUAAGUGUGUCAAAUCUGGCUGUGAACAUUUGUACCCACCAGAGGGCCCAAGAGGGGCAACCAGCCAGCAACUCUCUUUUCAUCCUUCCUCAGAUUGGGCUUUAGGGAGCUUAAAUCCUCCCCUGCCAAUGACCCAGACCCACUGGUUCCUGCCACGUCUUCCCUGCUUGGUAUACUAUAUUUCUGCCCAGCCUGGUUUAAGGGUUCCAUGGAGAUGAAGGGACCCAGAUAAAGGACUGGAAGUGAUGCUUGGAAGGAGACAAGCAGCAGAAGAAAGUUUUUCAAUAGUCCUGCAUUUGUUCCGCAUCGUGAGGAUCUGGGUACAAAAACAUAGAUAAAAAUCUAACAAUGGAGAAGUUGUGACAGAGGAUUCAGAAUAACAAAAACAAAUAGUAAGAUGGUAACUGGUUACUUUAUUCAGAAGAAAAUAAAUUUCGUCCACACUAGGGAUGAAAUUAAGAGCAAUAACAAACUAGUUAAACAUUAAGGAUAAUAUAUAUAUUUUUUUCUUUAAAAUUUGCAAUAGUUUGGAUGUAAAGCUUUUCCAACAUAGUUACCCCACAAUGUUAGUAGCACAUGAAUUUUAAAAAUACUCAAAUAUAAAAAGGAGUGGGAUUUACAAAGGAAGCUCACAUGUAAUUAAGGACUGCGCUGGAGAACUGGAAUCCAUACUGUGUUUAAAGGAUUCAAAGCUAUGUUAGUCAUGAAUCAUGAAGUUGUAAGUGUUAAAAGCACACGUCAAACUAGUUAAAGAAAACAACAAGAUUCGUUGGCACACAUUCCUGGGAUUGAAGAGAGAUGGUUCAGAUAUAAGAAAUUAAAAUAAUCAGAAUGCUUUUUGUCUCCAUUCUUGUUUCUACUUGUGCGUAGGUUUUAUUGUAGAAAUAGAUUUUUUUUUUUUUUUCUCUUAUGGCCGGGAAGAAGAUUGCUGCUAGCUCAAACUUAACAUCCAGCCAGAUAGACUCUCAGUGGGGAAAGUCUUAAUAUCUCUAGAUGAGUGCCAAAUUCUUAACACUCCUGCUCGAGUCUUAUGAAACACCCUGGGCCCGCCUCGGUUAUGUGGCCACUCUGAAGUAAGGAAGAGUGCUGUGGAACAGUCCAAACCAGAACACAUGGGCAAAAACUUUGUGCUGUUACCACGGAAGGGAGAAGAAAUACUAAGCAGGCAAACCAAAAAAUUCCCUAUCACAGUGAUAUUUUUAUUUUUAUUUUUUUCAUAGUGAUAUUUUUAAUUUUAAUUUUUAAUUUUUAAUAUUUAAUUUAAUUAAAUAUUUUUAAUUGGGUGUGAUGGAAAAGAUAAUUUAUGAACAUGGUUUGGUUUAGUUUUUGGUUUUGUUUUUGUAAUUAAGUGAGGCCACUUUACUGGCAAAAUACCAUAGAAAAUAUAUUUUAUAAUUACAGGUAAAAUGGAAAGAGGGUGUAGCCUACUUGUUAAUGAUCUUCGUGUUCAAUCUUCUUUAUAAAUUGUUGAGUAGUUGGCAUGCCUGGGUGGCUCAUUCGGUUUCGUCUGACUCUUGAUUUUGGCUCAGGUCAUGAUCUCAGGGUUGUGUUAGGGCUCCCUGGGAGUGGAGCCUGCUUAAUUAAGAUUCUUUCUCUCUCCCUCCUCUCCUCCUUGCUUCCUUACUCACCUGCAUUCUCUCUCUCUCAAAACAAAACAAAACAAAUUUUGAGUAGUUAAAAAAUAAAAACUAUUUGAAUGUGACUACACUUGCAACUCUUAAAGACAAAUGGCAUUGAAGGAAAAGUAUGGCAAUUUCAAUUAACUGACUCAAGUGGCAGCAAUAUGUAUAUGUAAAUAAAGUUUUCAUAACAGAAGCUUAUUGAUUCUGAUUUGUGGUUACAGCACACUGAUGUUCAACAUCCAAAAUGAUAGGGCUGUCCCGAUAACGGUCAGGGUACAUAAAAUGAAGGUAAGUCCUCGGAGCAGCUGCUCUCCUUUAAAAUUUGCAUCUACUUAAUAAUUAUUAUUAAAAACAGAUUUUGAAACCUGUGCUUCUAUCUGUAUAUAGAGAGAUUUGACAUAUCUUCGAGGUAUAUAUUUUCUAACCCUUAAUUAUGUAAUAUUUAAGAAAAAGUUGAUUAAGUCUUUACAGAGAAGAUUUUUAAUUUAAUUUAAUUUAAUUUUUUAUUUUACAGAGAAGGUUUUAUACCUAGGUCAUAGACAACAGGUAAUAUUACCGGUUCACAUAUUUGUUAUUCUCAGUAGCUGUUACCAAUCUUCAGCUGUUGAAA
rnacentral:lncRNA from 1 species